rnacentral:rRNA from 1 species
CUGCGGUGAAUACGUUCCCGGGUCUUGUACACACCGCCCGUCAAACCAUGAAAGUCACCAACACCCGAAGUCCGAUUCGUCGGCCUAAGGUGGGGGGAUGAGUUGGGGUU